GUCCGACACACCCUCUCCCGCUCGUCAAGCUACCCGGAACAAGUCACGCUACCCGGAACAGCUGCCUGUUCUGUUCCGGGGCAGCCCUGAAGGCGUUCUGCUUCUUGGCCUUUUUUCCGCGUAGUCCCGUUCGCGCGACGACGCAGCAGCAGGAGUAGUUAACGCGCGCGCGCGGUGACGGUCCGCUCGUCUUGCCGGCGGCCUUCGUUCUUUCCAGGGGCUGGGGGACUCCUGCUUGGGUCGUGGUGGGAAGCAGGUGGCAGCGCGCGUGCGCAGCAGUCUUCGGCUGCUUCUUCUCCCUCGCCUCCUCCUGGGGUCUCCUCCUGCCAGGAACUGCACAGAUUAAGUUUGACUGAGAGAUGGUGAUUGUCUAAAAGUCACCUAGGAGCCAAUUCCAGAUGCCCUGCAAUGGAUGAUGACAGUCAGGACGAGCUUAUAAACAAGAAUGCUGCAGUAGGGAAAAUCAAAAGAACAUCCGCGCUGUUUCUCAGCGAUGCAGAAAGCAGUGAUGGAAAUACUGGGGACUCAGAUGACACAGGGAGUGAGGAAGAAGGUGAUACUGAUGAAGAUGGCCGUGAAGAGGAGGAAGAAGGUGAAGAUGAAGAUGUAGAAGGUGAGUGACUGUUUUACAGUUUUGUUCAUUAGUGUGUGGUGGAAUAA
rnacentral:lncRNA from 1 species